rnacentral:tRNA from 1 species
CAGGAUAUAGCGUAAUCUGGCUCAUCGCGCUCGCUUUGGAAGCGAGCGAUUGCUGGUUCAAAUCCAGCUAUCCUGACCA